rnacentral:rRNA from 1 species
GCAAGUCGAGCGAAUGGAUUGAGAGCUUGCUCUCAAGAAGUUAGCGGCGGACGGGUGAGUAACACGUGGGUAACCUGCCCAUAAGACUGGGAUAACUCCGGGAAACCGGGGCUAAUACCGGAUAACAUUUUGAACCGCAUGGUUCGAAAUUGAAAGGCGGCUUCGGCUGUCACUUAUGGAUGGACCCGCGUCGCAUUAGCUAGUUGGUGAGGUAACGGCUCACCAAGGCAACGAUGCGUAGCCGACCUGAGAGGGUGAUCGGCCACACUGGGACUGAGACACGGCCCAGACUCCUACGGGAGGCAGCAGUAGGGAAUCUUCCGCAAUGGACGAAAGUCUGACGGAGCAACGCCGCGUGAGUGAUGAAGGCUUUCGGGUCGUAAAACUCUGUUGUUAGGGAAGAACAAGUGCUAGUUGAAUAAGCUGGCACCUUGACGGUACCUAACCAGAAAGCCACGGCUAACUACGUGCCAGCAGCCGCGGUAAUACGUAGGUGGCAAGCGUUAUCCGGAAUUAUUGGGCGUAAAGCGCGCGCAGGUGGUUUCUUAAGUCUGAUGUGAAAGCCCACGGCUCAACCGUGGAGGGUCAUUGGAAA